rnacentral:misc_RNA from 1 species
UUUAUCAAAAAUUCGGAAUAUUUCACUAAUUUCAACCUUAAAAAAUAAUUAAUUAGAAUAUAAUUAAGGUUUUGUCUCCAUUAUUUGGGCGUGGCUUAAUGACGUAAGCUUUGAAAUUGAUGAGUCCAUCUUGGCACAUUGUAAAAAUUGUAAACAAAGUUUAAAGGGACAUAAAUUUUAAUUUGAAUACUUCAUUUUAGAAAUAAAUAUUUACAUUUAAGUGUAAAAUAUACAUUUAAUUCAGAAAUAUGCAAAGGAUGACAUAAUAUUGGUGAAGAAUAAAAACAUAUUUUUAUUAUUUUAAAGGAUAUUACUCUUUAGUUCCUUGGUUUUUUAGGUAUUUUUUGAUUUUAAGUUAUUAAUUAAUUUUAAAAAAUGGUGAAAGAUUUGAUGCCAAAAUUACAAGAGUAUCUUAAACGACAAGAUCAAACUUCACACAAUGUGGAUGGAUUACAAGAAUCUUUAAUAACAAAUUUUUUAACUAAAGCUGAACAAAUACAUUCAGCAAUUGAAGAAUUUGAAAGUAAAGUAAAAAGCAUUCAGUUAGAAUAUCGUUCUGUAUUAUUUAAUCCAUUUGCGGAUGAAGAAACCAAAAAGACAUUGGAGCAACAUGCUGCUGAAUUAUACAGAAAUGCAAACAGAAUAUCUACAGACUUAAAAGGUAUGAUUAGAGAUAUUAAGACCAGAUGUGCUGAAACUGCCAGUGAAGCAGAUAUCAGAGUGUAUGAAACACAGUACACUACUCUUCGUUCAAGAUUUGUUUCAGCAAUGGAAGAAUAUAUGAAAUGUCAAGUGGAAUAUAAAGAUGGAUGGAAAGAGAGAAUUCGCAGACAGUUUAUGAUUGCUGGUCAAGUAAUCACAGAAGAAGAAAUUGAAGAGAUGUUAGAUAGACCAGAAAGUUUCAGAGUUGGGUUUGUAGUAGACACAUCGAAAGCGAAACAGACUCUAUCAGAUAUUGAAGCACGAAAUGCAGAAAUAGAGAAGGUUGAAAAGAGCAUACAAGAAAUGCACAAUAUGUUUGUUGACUUUAGUAUAUUAGUUCAACAGCAAGGUAAAGUAAUUGAUAGAAUAGAAAGCAGAAUUAUUCGAAGUAGAACUGCUGUCGAGAAGGGCAACACACGUUUAGAAAAAGCUAGAAAAUUCAAAAAAAGAUGCAGAAGAAAUUUGAUUAUUGCAAUUGUGAUCAUUAUGAUAAUCUUGGCAAUAGUUCUGGCCCUCAUAUUUACUGUUUGAUUUCUGUAGUAACAAAGCCACUAAUAGUUAAAGAAAUAUAAUGAAAAUUACAGUUAGAAUAGAAUGCUUUGAUACAAGUUAACAUAAAGUAUAUUAAUAGUUAUAUGAUUUACAUAGCCAAUAAUUAAUUCUGGAUCUUUACAUAUUUUAAUUUUUUUUAUAAAUGAAAUUUUUAUAUUCAAAACUACCAGAAUCUAAAUUAGAAAUAUUAUGUAUAACGUUAUAGGAGUAAAUUUAUAAUCCGACAUUUUUCUGUGUGUUAAGACAUUAUUUUACGGGAUGGUUGAAGAUUCUGCUUAAUUUUUCAAGCACUAAGAGGCCAAGUCUCUUACCAGCUUGGUCAGAACCACAAUGGGAUAGCAUACGAUAUGGUACAGGAUCCUCUUAGUGAUCAUUUUCUGUGCCCAUGAUGGGUUCAACUAGAUCCACAGUGGGACAGAUGGGUGGAAGAGACAUCCAACACGUACAUAAGAUACCACCUACAAAAUUUUCUGAGAUUCCAACCUGGAUUUGAACAUUUGUUCUUUGGAGCAGCAGGCCAAUACCUUUACUCCCUUGGCUCUCCAGCCGACAUGAAAACAGUUCUUCCAGCCUAAAAUAGGAACUGCAAAACUAGUCAUUUAUUCAUGAAAAAUGAAUAAAUAGUCGAGCAAAGCUUUAAUUUUUAAUCAGUUGUAAAAUAGAAAUUGGAAAAAGAAACUAAGUUUCUUAAAUUAUAAUUCAGAAUUAAUGUAAAUUCAUGAUUAUAAAAAUGCAUUCUUUCUAAAAUUGUAAUCUAGAAUAACUUUUUGCAUUUAUCUAUUUAUUGUGAAGAUAAAGAUCCAAAUCAGGAAUGAAAGUGAACUUCUUAACACAGAAAUUAUUUUCAGUAUUACAAAUCCUUUAUCACAUAUGACAGUUUCAAAUAGUUGCUAUUGUGAAAUGUAUUUUUCUAUAAUAUAUUGUUAAUAUUGUAUAUUUUUUGUAAAAGUUUUAAAAUAAAUGUACCAUUUACAAGUUAUGUUUUUUGAUUUUUAACAUACUUAUAUGUCAAUUUUUGAUAUAAGAACUCUAUGAGGUUCAGUACGAAGAAUAUGAGAGGAGCAAUGAUGUUUCUGCACUUUGUUGAGUUGCUCAUCCUCAGAUCACUAGGAUGCUCUAGGUUCUCUAUUUAGCCAUCAUGUGAACAUCUAACAAAUGCGAUACAAUAUGCACCUUCUUCCAUUGAGCCAUGCAGAUGAGAAGCCACUAGAGCAGUGAUAGUUUGUGUGGCAAGGAAUCUCUUCUAGGAAUACAAGAUGCAAGACUUCUGUGAAGCACCUUUUUAAUCAAGGAACUAUUGUAGUUUAUGACAGUCAACAUUAGUGAAUCUUGUUGCCUUUGCUUGCAAAUACAUAAUUCGAUGGGUUGUGGCACACUUGCAAUUAGUGACUACAUAUUUGAAGGAAAGCUCUUCCCAAAUUCAUCUAAUAUUGGCAAUCCAUUCAUUUGUAUUUAUUUGGUCCACUUUCUCCAGUUUGUUUGUCAGAAACCAUACAUUUUCAACAGGACAAGUCUGGAGAGAAAAGCUGGCCACUAGUGUGGUCAAACCAGGAAUGGGUGACCUUGCAUCAUCUUGCAAUUGAAAACCAGGAUAUAACAUAGACAUAGGAAAUUCUUUGUAAAUACCUGUUACCAACUGUUUCAUCAUUGAUUAAUCUGAGUGAAUUUUAGUGUAUUUUAGCCAAAUUUAUUUAGUGUUAUUUUUAGAAAAUUCACUUAUUUUUAAAGUGGCCUGAAAAGUAGCAAGUUGCCCAAAUCUAGUAGCCUAGAGCUGUAUCUCAACCUGCUACUUGUAGCCCAAUCUUGUAAUUCUGAAACGAAGCUGUAUUUUAUGAGAUAAGAGAAAAAUGGGUAGUCCAUGGGCAAGGUAACACCUGAAAAUGCACUACUGUAAAAACAAAGGCAUGUUGACUAUAUUAGAGUUAUUCUCUUAUAUAAAACACUUUGAUCUAAAGGAAUGAGUUAACAUACUUAUAUCACAGUUCAGACUGAAUUUUCACUUUGAAUUUUGAACCAAAUUCCUUAACAUGUAAAUCUCUAUAUCCCUGGUAGGACAAACAGUACAGUUAUGACCUAAUGGGAUUUUGAACUAUCCAAGUUCAAAUGAAAAGGAUUUCCUGUAUAUGUAUGAAUGCAGUUUUUUUGAAAUACUUAAAGAUGUGUUAAAUAAUGCACAGAGCCAAAAAAUGACAGCACUUACCCAUGCACUGCACUAAAGGUUUAUUUUUUUAUAUUAACGUGCAAAAUUGGUAAUGAGCUUUCUGAUGAAGCCAUGCUACAUUACAAUCUUUGUAAUGCUCUCAAUUUCAUGCAAUUCAUUGUCUGUGUGGGAAACAAUUAACAAUGCAAUGCAUUGUUUCCACACAAUGUAUAGCAUAAAUGUUUACUUCAGUCUUCAAGCUAAUUUCCAUCAGCUGAGUGCAAACAAUUCACAUAUGCAGAAGCAUAAACAUGAAUUAACGGAAAAUAAAUGCAUAUUACUAAAUAUCUUCGAAUGUAUUACAGACCUCUGGAUCUAGUCUGCGCACCUCCAGGGUCUAAAGAAAUACUGUGUUAAUCUGAUGUUUAAAACUGUUAUGUUUGUUGUUGAUACAAUGAUGAGAUGAAUUUAUCAAUUUCUAUGAAGGAGAUGUUACGGCACAAUCGUUGGGAAUUUUGAUAUUAUGUGCGUGGAUAAGCCUCAGUACAAGCAUUUAAAGAAGCAAGCUUCCAUCCUUUGCUCAGUAAACAUUUUCAAGAAAAUCAAAGUUAAAAACUCGUGAACAACUUAAGAUUAAGUUUCAUGGAAACU